rnacentral:rRNA from 1 species
UACGGAUGGGGCGAGCGUUGUUCGGAAUCAUUGGGCGUAAAGGGAGCGUAGGUGGCUCAUUAAGUGGAGUUUGUCAGCGUCGGGCUCAACCUGACGAUUGAUUCCAAACUGGUGAGCUUGAGUCCGCUAGAGGGCACUGGAAUUCCGGGUGUAGGGGUGAAAUCUAUAGAUAUCCGGAGGAACACCGAUGGCGAAGGCAGGUGCCUGGGGCUGGACUGACACUGAUGCUCGAAAGCCAGGGGAGCAAACGGG